rnacentral:rRNA from 1 species
UACGGGGGGGGCGAAGCGUUGUUCGGAAUUACUGGGCGUAAAGGGCUCGUAGGCGGCCAACUAAGUCAGACGUGAAAUCCCCAGGCUUAACCUGGGAACUGCAUCCGAUACUGGAUGGCUUGAAUCCGGGAGAGGGAUGCAGAAUUCCAGGUGUAGCGGUGAAAUGCGUAGAUAUCUGGAGGAAUACCGGUGGCGAAGGCGGCAUCCUGGACCGGCAUUGACGCUGAUGAGCGAAAGCUAGGGGAGCAAACGGGG